GGUACUAUUCCAUCAUCCUCAUUGUACAGGCCCAAUUCAGAUGCCACUGCCCCACUGAAGCCUUCCCAGACACCUUGCCCCCGCACCAAGCCAUCUCCCCAUCACCCCUCAGACCACCAAGGGGCACCAGGACCUGGGGCUGCCUGGUAGGGCAGUGCCCACCUUCCCAGUCAGACUGGAUGAUCACUGCAGGGGACACGGGUUCGAGCCCUGGUCUGGGAAGAUCCCACAUGGCGCGGAGCAACUAGGCCCGUGAGCCACAACUACUGAGCCUGUGCGUACUGGAGCUUCUGCCCCGCAACAAGACAGGCCGCGACAGUGAAAGGCCCGCACACCGCGAUGAAGAGUGGAC